rnacentral:tRNA from 1 species
CGGGGCGUAGCGCAGCCAGGGAGCGCACCUGAAUGGGGUUCAGGUGGUCGGAGGUUCAAAUCCUCUCGCCCCGACCA